rnacentral:piRNA from 1 species
UGCGAUUGCUGAACCGCUGGGUGUCC